rnacentral:rRNA from 1 species
AUUGAACGCUGGCGGCAUGCUUUACACAUGCAAGUCGAACGGCAGCGGGGAGGAGCUUGCUUCUCUGCCGGCGAGUGGCGAACGGGUGAGUAAUACAUCGGAACGUGUCGAGAAGAGGGGGAUAACCACCCGAAAGGGUGGCUAAUACCGCAUAAAUUCUGAGGAAGAAAGCUGGGGACCUAGGAAUAGGCCUAGCGCUUUUUGAGCGGCCGAUGUCGGAUUAGCUAGUUGGCGAGGUAAAGGCUCACCAAGGCGAAGAUCUGUAGCGGGUCUGAGAGGAUGAUCCGCCACACUGGGACUGAGACACGGCCCAGACUCCUACGGGAGGCAGCAGUGGGGAAUUUUGGACAAUGGGGGCAACCCUGAUCCAGCCAUGCCGCGUGUAUGAAGAAGGCCUUAGGGUUGUAAAGUACUUUUGUUAGGGAAGAAAAGUCAGCUGUGAAUAAUGGCUGAUACUGACGGUACCUAAAGAAUAAGCACCGGCUAACUACGUGCCAGCAGCCGCGGUAAUACGUAGGGUGCGAGCGUUAAUCGGAAUUAUUGGGCGUAAAGCGAGUGUAGACGGUUAUUUAAGCCAGAUGUGAAAUACCCGGGCCUAACUUGGGAGGUGCAUAUGGAACUGGGUAGCUAGAGUGUGUCAGAGGGAGGUAGAACUCCACGUGUAGCAGUGAAAUGCGUAGAGAUGUGGAAGAAUACCGAUGGCGAAGGCAGCCUCCUGGGAUAACACUGACGUUGAGGCUCGAAAGCGUGGGGAGCAAACAGG